rnacentral:tmRNA from 1 species
GGGGGCGAAUGGUUUCGACAAGGAGUUUGGGGGUCAAAAACUGCAGGCUGAGGUGCCGUCACCUCAUAAAACAACGGCAAAAAAGAAGUGCCAACACAAAUUUAGCAUUAGCUGCAUAAUUUAGCAGCUACGUCCUCUUAACCCGGGCUGGCAGGGUUAAGAUGGGCGUGAGAUUAGCCAGCUAUCCCUCUCGACUCCCAUAAGAGAGGGAGAAAAAGUAUGGGAUAGGAAUCUAUAGAAUCCGGCGGAAGGGAGUCUAUAGAUUCCGAAAAAUGUAAAACUUCCGCUAAGCCUGUAGAGGUUUUUGGCUCCUACUCUUUGGACGCGGGUUCGAUUCCCGCCGCCUCCACCA